rnacentral:rRNA from 1 species
UCUCUUGGUUCUGGCAUCGAUGAAGAACGCAGCGAAAUGCGAUAAGUAAUGUGAAUUGCAGAAUUCAGUGAAUCAUCGAAUCUUUGAACGCACAUUGCGCCCUCUGGUAUUCCGGAGGGCAUGCCUGUUCGAGCGUCAUUU